rnacentral:rRNA from 1 species
GACGAACGCUGGCGGCGUGCUUAACACAUGCAAGUCGAACGAAAUGGCGAACUGGUGAGUAACGAGUAAUCAACCUGCCCUUCAGAGGGGGACAACAGUUGGAAACGACAGCUAAUACCGCAUACUGAAGGUGGGGAUUGCGUCUGAUUCGCUAGUUGUGGGGGUAACGGCCCACCACGGCGAUGAUCAGUAGCUGGUCUGAGAGGAUGAACGGCCACAGUGUGACUGAGACACGGCCCAGACUCUUACGGGAGGCAGCAGUGGGGAAUCUUCCGAAAUGGACGAAAGUCUGACGGAGAAACGCCGCGUGAGUGAGGACGGCCUUCGGGUUGUAAAGCUCUGUUAAUCGGGACGCGGUACCGGAAUAGAAAGCCACGGCUAACUACGUGCCAGCAGCCGCGGUAAUAC